rnacentral:rRNA from 1 species
GACGAACGCUGGCGGCGUGCUUAACACAUGCAAGUCGAACGGAAAGGCCCUGCUUGCAGGGUACUCGAGUGGCGAACGGGUGAGUAACACGUGGGUGAUCUGCCCUGCACUUCGGGAUAAGCUUGGGAAACUGGGUCUAAUACCGGAUAGGAGCCAUCUUUAGUGUGGUGGUUGGAAAGUUUUUUCGGUGUAGGAUGAGCUCGCGGCCUAUCAGCUUGUUGGUGGGGUAAUGGCCUACCAAGGCGGCGACGGGUAGCCGGCCUGAGAGGGUGUACGGCCACAUUGGGACUGAGAUACGGCCCAGACUCCUACGGGGGGGAGCAGUGGGGAAUAUUGCACAAUGGGCGCAAGCCUGAUGCAGCGACGCCGCGUGGGGGAUGAAGGCCUUCGGGUUGUAAACUCCUUUCGCUAGGGACGAAGCUUUGUUGUGACGGUACCUAGAUAAGAAGCACCGGCUAACUACGUG